rnacentral:rRNA from 1 species
UACGUAGGUGGCAAGCGUUGUCCGGAUUUACUGGGCGUAAAGAGCGCGCAGGCGGUCGUUCAAGUCGCGUGUGAAAGCCCCCGGCUCAACUGGGGAGGGUCACGCGAUACUGAUCGACUCGAAGGCAGGAAAAGGUAGUGGAAUUCCCGGUGUAGUGGUGAAAUGCGCAGAUAUCAGGAGGAACACCAAUGGCGAAGGCAGCUCGCUGGAACGGUACUGACGCUGAGGCGCGAAAGCGUGGGGAGCAAACAGG